GGGGAAUAUUGGACAAUGGGGGCAACCCUGAUCCAGCCAUGCCGCGUGUGUGAAGAAGGCCUUCGGGUUGUAAAGCACUUUAAGCAGGGAGGAAGGCUCGUGCGCUAAUACCAUACGGGAUUGACGUUACCUGCAGAAUAAGCACCGGCUAACUCCGUGCCAGCAGCCGCGGUAAUACGGAGGGUGCGAGCGUUUAUCGGAAUUACUGGGCGUAAAGCGCGCGUAGGCGGCUUGAUAAGGCGGAUGUGAAAUCCCCGGGCUCAACCUGGGAACUGCAUCCGAUACUGUUAAGCUGGAGUACGAUAGAGGAUGGUAGAAUUGCUAGUGUAGCGGUGAAAUGCGUAGAUAUUAGAAGGAAUACCGGUGGCGAAGGCGGCCAUCUGGAUCGAUACUGACGCUGAGGUGCGAAAGCGUGGGGAUCAAAC
rnacentral:rRNA from 1 species